AACCCCUGGCAAUGGGCAAAGAGACACCUCGUUGGUGGUGUUGUUCUGAUAUCAGCCAGGGGCAGAGCAGAUGGCAGCCCCUUGUUCAUCCUAGCUUGAUGCCUGCCUUGGUGGCCAAAGCUGUUUCAUGCCUGGGGCACAUAA